CAGGGCCUGGGUGAAGGUUGUCAGGGCCUGGGUGAAGGUUGUCAGGGCCUGGGUGAAGGUUGUCAGGGCCUAGGUGAAGGUUGUCAGGGCCUGGGUGAAGGUUGUCAGGGUUUUGGUAAAGGUUGUCAGGGCCUGGGUGAAGGUUGUCAGGG